CGUUGAAACAACGGAUCCGCCUGAGGAUCACCGAAGUUAAGCAAUGUCGAACCUGGUCAGUACCAAGAUGGGUGACCGCUUAGGAAUACUAGGUGCUGUAA